ACGGAAGGCAGCAGUGGGGAAUAUUGGGCAAUGGGCGAAGGCCUGACCCAGCAACGCCGCGUGAAGGAAGAAGGUCUUCGGAUUGUAAACUUCUUUUAUGAGGGACGAAGGACGUGACGGUACCUCAUGAAUAAGCCACGGCUAACUACGUGCCAGCAGCCGCGGUAAUACGUAGGUGGCAAGCGUUAUCCGGAUUUACUGGGUGUAAAGGGCGCGUAGGCGGGAGGGCAAGUCAGAUGUGAAAUCCAUGGGCUCAACCCAUGAACUGCAUUUGAAACUGUUUUUCUUGAGUGCUGGAGAGGUAGACGGAAUUCCUUGUGUAGCGGUGAAAUGCGUAGAUAUAAGGAAGAACACCAGUGGCGAAGGCGGUCUACUGGACAGUAACUGACGCUGAGGCGCGAAAGCGUGGGGAGCAAACAGGAUUAGAUACCCUGGUA
rnacentral:rRNA from 1 species